UCGAGAUAUAAAUAAAAUUUACUGGACAAUACUAUCUAUAGAUAAAAAUUCAAAGGAUAUGGCGGUGUUCUUAUAUAAUCAGGGGAACCUGUUGCUUAAUUCGAUACUCCACGAUAUCUUUACCUAAUUUAACUAGCUUAUGUACUGCUGUCGCCAGUAAACCUAUUAUAGAUAGUUUACUUCAUAAUUAACACCUAAUUACGUCAAGUCAAAGUGUGGCUUAUAGUUAGGGGUAAAAUGGGUUACAAUCUUAACAAAGAUACAGAAAUGAAUUUAAACAUCAUAGAAGGUGGACUUGAAAGUAAUAUUCACACGCCAAUAUAAAAAUUUCUAAGGCAUGUACAUAUCGCCCGUCACUCUCAUCAUUUAGAC
rnacentral:rRNA from 1 species